rnacentral:ribozyme from 13 species
AAUAUUAUGAUACAAAAAAUAAUCCAAAAAAACGCCAUAAUUUUUAUCAUCUUUUUCUUCAAACUUCACUUUACUCUUCUCUUUCUUCCUUUCUAAUUCUUCUUCUCUUUCUUUUU